rnacentral:rRNA from 1 species
GACGAACGCUGGCGGCGUGCUUAACACAUGCAAGUCGAACGAAGAGCGACGGAAGCUUGCUUCUAUCAAUCUUAGUGGCGAACGGGUGAGUAACGCGUAAUCAACCUGCCCUUCAGAGGGGGACAACAGUUGGAAACGACUGCUAAUACCGCAUACGAUCUAACCUCGGCAUCGAGGAUAGAUGAAAGGUGGCCUCUACAUGUAAGCUAUCACUGAAGGAGGGGAUUGCGUCUGAUUAGCUAGUUGGAGGGGUAACGGCCCACCAAGGCGAUGAUCAGUAGCCGGUCUGAGAGGAUGAGCAGACACAUUGGGACGGAGACACGGCCCAGACUACUACGGGAGGCAGCAGUGGGGAAUCUUCCGCAAUGGACGAAAGUCUGACGGAACAACGCCGCGUGAGGGAUGACGGCCUUCGGGUUGUAAAGCUCUGUUAAUCGGGACGAAAGGCCUUCUUGCGAAUAGUGAGAAGGAUUGACGGUACCGGAAUAGAAAGCCACGGCUAACUACGUG